GUGCUGCUGGCAGUGCGCAGUCAGGGCCUGGGGCAGAUCUUCACGGAGCUGGUCUGGAGUCUGGACUGGUGACGCUGCUGGAUCAGGUCAGGUCCGGACUGGUUAGUCAGGUCACAGUGCGAUGCGUCCAAAUAGGGUGGCA